UAGCACACCUGUCCUUUAUUU
rnacentral:piRNA from 1 species